rnacentral:lncRNA from 1 species
UGCUUGAUGAAUUGAUAACCUUUUUCUCUAGAAAUUUAUUGUUAAGUAAAGGAAUCAAGCCAAGUUUUGAUUUAUCACAAGCAACAUAUUGGCUUUCAAACAUCAUUUUUAAUCGUUCUGAGCUUACGGUGAAUUUGUUAAUAAAAGAUUUUAAUUGAUUAAUUUCUUUACUUAAGUUUUGAUUUUCUUUAAUUAAGCUAUGAUUUUUCUGAAUCAAUUCUUCUGAAAAUGACCUUAAACUUUUAUUUUCAGAAUUUAGUUUGUCUUAUAUUUCAGUAAUAGAAUUUCUUUUUUUCGAAAUUUCCAAAUUUAGCCUUUUAAGAUUUUUAUUUUUCCUAGCUAAUUUUCUACAUUCACUAUACAAAUCAUGAAAAGCAUUUAAAAGUUCAUCAUAAGAAUAUUUUUCAUAAAAGUCAUUUGGUGUAAGAUUAGAUUCAGAUUCUACUUUAUCUUCUUGUACCAUAAGACAUAAGUUAGUUACCUCUUGUAGUUCAUUGUUGCUCCUAACUUUCAAUUCCUUGUCUGACUUUCUCUUGGUCAAGGCUUUCUUGCGCUUUACCUCUUUCUUCCAUUCUUCUUGCUUCCUCUUCUUCUUUGUCUUUAGGAAGCUGAUUUGCCUCGGAGUUGACUCAGACCUUAUUGGAGUCGACUCGACUAACUUGGGAGUCGACUAUGAGCUACUUGGAGUCGNNNNNNNNNNNNAGAUUCAUCACCCUUUUCUGCAGUCUCAUUGUUAGUAUAUAAUUGAAGCAUAUGAGAGCUAAUCUGAGAUUUAUCAUAAAUAUUUUCUAAAGUAUCCCAGAUCUCCUUAGCAGAUAAGCAUGCAGAAAUUUCAUUAAACUUUGUUUCUUGAAUAGCACAAUAUAAUAUGUUCAUAGCAUUAGCAUUUAAUUGUGCUAAGUCCUUCUCNN